rnacentral:lncRNA from 1 species
UUUAAAUACAAUUUACCCACUAAGCCAUGCUCAAGUUUUGCAAAGCUCAUUUUCCAUGCCUGGUGACACUAUUAUUCUACUUCAGCACUAACACAAGAGAAAUAAAAUGAGACAUAUAAAGUACCUAGCAUAUAAGAAAGGGGUGUUUUUUUCCUCUAUGUACUUACAUUUUUGUAUAAAAUCCAAUGUUAAACCCCAAUAAUAAAAGCUAAAUAUUAGUCAUUAGAGUAAAAAAGAAUUUCACCUUUAUUUGAACAUUAUAGCUCUAGUGACAUCUGGUGGAAAAUACAGGAGUUAUAAAGUGGCAUUAGAUAGCUAUUCUGAUCUUUUACGUAGAGUAAAUUUUAACAUAAAUUUUACAUACUAAGCAACUAAACAAAAAUGGAAGGUGAAGAAAAGAAUGCCUAGAAGGAUAUUUUACUUCAUUAAUAAUUUUUUAGUCUAUGUUUCAAAAUACAGAGGUUAAUGAACACGGGAAACUAGUCCAUUCCAAUAAUAAAAAAAUAUUUAUUCAACAUGUAUGCUUAGGUGAAAAAUAAGCAAAAGAAUUUAUGGAUCCUUUAUACUGUUUUAAGUCUCUUUUUAUUCAUUACAUGCCAAUGAGCCUUCCUUCUCAAGCUUUUAGAUCAUAAUUAACUAUAUGGUGUCCUACAUACUACCUAGAAGUAGCCAGCUGUACUGCAGAUAAAAUGGAGAUACUGUGCGACAAUGAUGACACUUUGUGAGCCUGAAAAGAAAUCCAUUACACUGCCAGCCCUUAGAGAUGAAACUGAAAAUGCCUGUGCAGCAAUCUCAAUGGACACUUUGACCAAGACUACCCAAGCAGCAGUUCACUGUGCUAAUAAAUUUCUGGAAGCUAAUGGCCACUGCUUUGAGCACUUCUUGUAACUGUAGAGGCCAAAGGUAAAUUGUAUUAAUUUCAUUUAUACAAGUUAUUCUUUUCCUAAACUGUGUGUACACUUUUUGGCAAACUCUACACUCCCAUGGAGGUUUAACUUCUCUAACUGAAGAUAUUGGAAAGAUCCUGAAAGGGUGUGGUUUAGUCCCUUCUAGGCUAUUUCAAACUUUGAUUGGAUCAACUAGAAUAUUUCCUUUCUCUACCUAUGAUAAGCAAAACUGAGUCACAAUCAGGCCUGACCUAGAGAUCCACUAGACUGUCUCAGAAUCUUACCUUUCCUAUGUUUAACAUGGUAUGAGAGCCUGUCAGUUUCUUGGUGCUGGUUUAAAUGUCUUCUUCCUAAGCUGAGCCUCGAAGAGGGAGGGACAAGGGCAACUGGGGUCACAGACUAAAGCUUUCCCAAUCUAGCUUUGCACAUGAAGUUCACAACUGGACUCCUUACUCAACUGCAAAAUGUGUAUCCCUUAAGGAGUAAGAGAAAUAAUGGCUCCUCAGAAACUUCCCAAGAGUUAAUAUAUUAACCAAUAGUUAACAUGUAAAUGACAGUGGGGAGGUGAUCAAA